rnacentral:lncRNA from 1 species
CCCAGGGCCCCAUGGGAGGCUGGGCUGGCGGGUAGGGAGGCGCUAGUCGCUGGCUGGCGCAAAGCGUCACUGCCUAAGCUCCACCUCUCAGUGGCGCCUUCUAAACGCGUUCUUCCGCCCUCUUUCCUCCUCUUCGCCUUUUUUCGGCCAUUGUGGUGCGAGCACCGAAUUCGGUCCCUCACCAUGGUAAGUCUAUCGGCCGCCAUCGGCUCGGAGAUGGCUUUCCUAGACACAAAGCCGCCAAGGGCUGGCCGGGGCCGCGUGAAGUGUCGAGGGGCAGGAGUAUUUUAAAGGUAUUUUCAAGGGACUGUCCAGUUUGGCCGCUGCUCUAACCCACAGGUCUAGCAGGACCACUCGGGGAGGGGCGGCUGCGCCGGCGCGGAAGAGUCCAAAGCGCGCUAAGAGUCUGGCUGAUCCCGGGGAGCGCAAGGAUUUUUGCUUCCCUGCUGUUGCAAACUGUGAUUAUCGAGGUGCACCCCCGCUUGCCUGAACUUGGACCAACGGCAGGCUGCCGGUAGUGUGCACGAUAUGCUCGGCAUCAGAAGGGGCAUCCAGAAGUGUUACCCAUAACAAGAUUGCAGGAAUUUUUAGUCAUUUGUUCAGAGACUUGAGCUUAAUUGCCUAGAAUGGGGGUUUUGUGUGAUACGGGGAUUUUUAGUAAAUGCCAUCACUGCUCUGUGACAGAUUACUAUGUUUGUUGGUUACUAGGUAUGGAGGGGAUCGGUAUUUGAUGUUUUCUAGUUUAUUGAUAAAAUAUACAACUGCUAUUGCGGGCUGGGAGAGAGUUGUAGUUAUGCCUUUAUAAUGGCCCCUAUAAUGCAAGGGUUUGUUGGGCUAAGUUGGCUAGGCUAUAGAUCUGCAAUUCUGCCGGAUUGACCUUGAGGGGGUGGAGGGUACACUGAGGCUCAUUGACUUACAAGUGAUAGGUUAUUCUGGUUAACCUAAAGCUAGGUCUUUCCAUUAAGCCAAGUUCCCCAGCCCUAGCCAAUUCCCAAUUUGGUUGCCUGAGUUUUCUGAUGCCUUUUGAGAACUCUCAGGAUUUGAGGGUGGAUGAUGAUUUUUAAUUUUUUUGUAUAUCCACUGAGAUGUUUGUUGGAUUGAGGAAAAAAAUUUUGAAUCAUUUUGGGCUGGCUCUAGUAUCACUAAGUUGUUUGCAUUUCCUUGCAGUCUUCUCACAAGACUUUCAGGAUCAAGCGAUUUUUGGCCAAGAAACAAAAGCAAAAUCGUCCCAUUCCCCAGUGGAUUCGAAUGAAAACUGGUAAUAAAAUCAGGUAAGACACCACACACACACACACACACACACUAUUCUUUGUUUCAAUUUAGAGACAGGGUCUAAACAUGCAGUUGAAAGUUACAUGUAAUUGCUGAGGCUGGCUUUGAACUGCGAUCCUCCUGCCUCAGCCUCCUGAGCUGCUGGGAUUACAGGUAUGUGCCACCACGCCUGGCUGGUUAUCAUCUUUAUGUGGUUUUUGGGAUCAAACCGAGUGCCUCACGCCCCAUUCAGUCACUCAGCUUUAGCCUUGAUUAACACAAAUUACUAUUUGAUGUGGUCAGCUUUUUUUUUUUUUUGAAAUUAUUGAAUUUAUGAUUUUGGAAGAAAGACGUCUUUGGAGAAAAAAUAAGUUUGUUAAAUAUGGCCCUAAAUCCCAAAACCAGUGACAAACCUAGAGUGUUAAAUAACAUUCACAUUUUUGGCAUAUUCAAAAUGAAAUAGCAGGUAUAUUGGAUUUUCCAAAUAACAGCUAAGAACAUAGAGGAAGAGCUUAGGAUAUGGGUCCAUCUAGGAAAAGGAUACCAAAAAUCUAGUGUAAACUUUCUGGGUUCUUAAGCCAAUCUGUUUUCCAUGUUCCUGUCAACUGAUGAUAUCUAUGUUUUGGUUCUUGGAGAUUAACAAACUGUACCUCUUUGAUAGAAUGGAGGGCCUAAUUCAAUGGACAAUCCUGGUUCUCUGGUCUCAUACAAUUGGGGAGAUAUUUGCUAUCUUCCAACUUUUAUUUAUUUUGUGUGUGCCUGGUGCCCAGGGCAAUUAAUUGAGAGCAGGUUGCAAUAAAAGUGCUUCGCUUUAUGGAAGUACGGCCAUUAUCCUGAUGCAAGAAAAGUUAUGUAGUGUACCUUUCAUUUUGCCUACUGGGGGGCAAGUCAUGGCAGAUUGGCAUGAUGGCUUUAACUUUGGAAUGUGCUAUUAAAAUGAAGUAUUAGUCUCAUGUAACGAUAAUGCAGGUUUGUGUGUGAUCCAUUAAGAGGGGGUUAAAGAUAUGCUUGCAUCUACCCCCAGUGUGUUGAAUCAAAAGUGCAUGUGGGCUCAGAUGGAAGGAUGAGGUAGAAUAAUGUUCCUAUCUACUUGAUUCACGGCUAAGAACCUAGUCUGAGAUCAAUCAUCUUGAGGUUAAAAUUUGGUUUGGCCCAGUUCUUACAAAAAUGUAACAAAUAAUUUUACUCUCAAGAACAAUCCAAACUUGUUGAAGGAGAAACUGUGACCUUUGAAUUUUGUUGUACCAAGUUUAUGGUGAAUGGAGACAGCUAAAUUGUAGUCAGACUGCCUUUGUAACUGUCAGUUUCCUUCUCUGUAGGUACAAUUCCAAGAGGAGACACUGGAGGAGAACCAAGCUGGGUCUAUAAAGAAUGACAUGAAAUGGCACACAUAUUUAUCAAAGCUGUGAUCAUUUUGUCACAUCCACCUGAAAAUGUCUGCCCUAUCUGGAUAGUGUCACAGAAGCUGUAGUACUGGUUUGGGUUGGUUUGCUAAUAAAUAUGUGAAACAUUUGAACUGCUC